GCCGGGCAAGCCACCGAGCGCGCAGUGAUGACGCAACACGCAGCCGGGGCCUUCUACUUUCAAGCGUAGCGUGGUCAGAAAAUGUCUGAGGGCGCUGUUGUCAUGGCCUGUGUGAUGGUGCACACCCCGAAUUCCAGCACUCAGGAAGCAGAGGCAGGGGCAUCCCUUAAAGAUGCAGGAUAUUCAGAGCUUCAUUGUAAAUUCCUAUUUCUGAAGAAAGAAAAUAUCUAGAACGGCUAAAGCAGCCAACCCCAUUGGUGCUUAGUCAGAGAAAUCAUGAACAGAACAAGAAUACAACCCGAGCUAUGGUAUGAUACUCUGCACAUCCACGGCUGUCUCGCCUGUGUGACAAAAUGCCUCUCAGGUGGUGGCCGUCUCGAAAUGAGGGGCUCAUGCUUCCUGGAGCUUGGCCCCGGCGGCCCCUGGCUGCCUGCUCGAGUUGCGGUGCCUGAUCAGCCUCAACGACCUCGUUCACUUUGUUCCUGGCGAUGGUUUCUUCCGUUGGCUCUGCUAUCUUCUUCUCUGUUCUACUUUUCUCUUGACAAAAACUUAAUCUGUUCAAGGAACCAGGAAACAUUCCCAAUGGUUCCUUGAAUACGGAGGAACUGAUCGUCAGUCCCCUCCCUUGAUUCAGGCCAUUAAUGUUAUGAUUAAGACUCCGGCUCGCUCUCUGGGGGAAUUUAUGGAUACCCUAAAACAGAAAGAGCUCAUGAUGGUAGGAGAUGGGUAAAUUAUGAAGGAAAACGUAUGGAGUGGCAUGAGUUAACAUUUAUGGAGAGCCUAGCCAGAAUGAGAAACCCCUGGUACAUUUUAGAUAGGAAAGAGAAGCAGGCUAUUCUUGACAACAUGUAACCAGCCAUUCAGUAUGGGAGCAAACCCUGGGGGCGGAAUCCUGAAGAAUGGUAUCUAGGUUACCUUGAGGGCAGAUAUGAUUUAGAGCCAUGAGAAAGCGCAGUUGGUUAGUGGCUUAAGACGAAUUUCAAAGAAAAGCUCUGACCACCUGGCCCUGACCACAAGACUUGCUGAGAAUAAUCAAUUGCCUGUAAUCAUUUUUUCUAUGUAAGCCUUUGUGUCUGCCAACUUCCUUCUGUAAUCUCAUAAAAGUGAUGCUUGAAUUUUAGUAAAGUUGUAGCAGAUUCAAACCUCA